CUAACUUUAAAAAAAUACCAAUUGUCCCUCUACAGGUUUUAUUCAACUAAUUUUAAGCUAUACAUUUAACUCAUAAACACAGAAUUCCAGACCCCACAGAUGUCCUAAAGGAACUAAGACAAGGGUGAGGACUGCCACCGAAAAAGUCGAUAAAUUUCCAGUGAUCUCCCGGAUGUUUGUGUGGAUGGUAAGAAGGACCAUGAUCUCUCAGGCUCCACCUUCUCUCAGGAGGCUUCGAGACCUUCUGCCAGGCCAGCAUUGGAAACCUCAUCCCAGGAGGGAGGGAGGAGCUAAGCAGGGCCUCAGUCAGCCAAUCAGCUGUCCUGGCCUGUGAUCUUUCUCCACUGCCUGGCCUUGGUGCCGUUAGAGCAGCUUCCAUGACCUGCCCUUUUAUACACGGGCCUCAAGUAAUCAAGAUGGAGAAGGAAGGGAGGAGAGAGUUAGCUUCCAUACCUCAUGGAAACACCCUCAGACAUCACCAUCUAUCCAAGGCUCGCCCUAGACUCUGCUGCUUCCAUCCUGCCUGGCCCUCUUGCUGAAUGUGCUGGGUCAAGUGGCACCAUAUCAAGUGAGAUUAACAUGGCAUGCAAGGAGUGACAGGCACGUGCUCUCUCCCCUAGGACCUUGACUGAGACCUUGACUGGGCUCCCUGCUGAUCUGCGUCUUCACUGGUCUACAGUUGUCCGUUUAGACUUGGCUCUGUCUUUUGGAGGGAGGCAGGGCCCAGCUCCUGGACCCAACAGUUAGGACUGUUGCUGCUCUUCUGGCUUAGGCGGCCCUUGCCUGAGGCAGCUGUGGGAAGCCCUCACCUGGGAAAUGCUUGGUGUGCGUCUCCUUCCCUAGUCAGUCACUAAGGGAGCAAAAAACAUCCCAAGUUUCGAAGGAGAAGCAACAUGAAUUUACAUAGGUUUGCCAAAUGUCUGGUAUUGAAUUAAACAAUCUGGAAUUUUAACUUCCUGUCUAGGUUAAAAAAAAAAAAGCACAUAUUUCUGAAUACUUGCUACAAGGCAAAAGAACUACUUCUAUAAUAAACAUAUACACAAGUGGAAAAUAUAAAACA
rnacentral:lncRNA from 1 species